UACGUAGGGUGCAAGCGUUGUCCGGAAUUAUUGGGCGUAAAGCGCACGUAGGCGGCUUUCUAAGUCGGAGGUGAAAUCCUGGAGCUCAACUCCAGAACUGCCUUCGAUACUGGAGAGCUUGAGUCCGGGAGAGGUGAGUGGAACUGCGAGUGUAGAGGUGAAAUUCGUAGAUAUUCGCAAGAACACCAGUGGCGAAGGCGGCUCACUGGCCCGGUACUGACGCUGAGGUGCGAAAGCGUGGGGAGCAAACAGG
rnacentral:rRNA from 1 species